UGGGGAAUUUUGGACAAUGGGGGCAACCCUGAUCCAGCCAUGCCGCGUGCGGGAAGAAGGCCUUCGGGUUGUAAACCGCUUUUAGCCGGGAAGAAAGGGCGCGCGCGAAUAGCGCGUGUCGUUGACGGUACCGGCGGAAUAAGCACCGGCUAACUACGUGCCAGCAGCCGCGGUAAUACGUAGGGUGCGAGCGUUAAUCGGAAUUACUGGGCGUAAAGCGUGCGCAGGCGGUUCGUUGUGUCGGUGGUGAAAGCCCCGGGCUUAACCUGGGAAUGGCCAUGGAAACUGGCGAACUGGAGUGUGGCAGAGGGGGGUGGAAUUCCGCGUGUAGCAGUGAAAUGCGUAGAGAUGCGGAGGAACACCGAUGGCGAAGGCAGCCCCCUGGGCUAACACUGACGCUCAGGCACGAAAGCGUGGGGAGCAAACAG
rnacentral:rRNA from 1 species